rnacentral:rRNA from 1 species
GAUGAACGCUGGCGGCGUGCCUAAUACAUGCAAGUCGAGCGAACGGACGAGAAGCUUGCUUUUCUGAUGUUAGCGGCGGACGGGUGAGUAACACGUGGAUAACCUACCUAUAAGACUGGGAUAACUUCUGGAAACCGGAGCUAAUACCGGAUAAUAUUUUGAACCGCAUGGUUCAAAAGUGAAAGACGGUCUUGCUGUCACUUAUAGAUGGAUCCGCGCUGCAUUAGCUAGUUGGUAAGGUAACGGCUUACCAAGGCAACGAUGCAUAGCCGACCUGAGAGGGUGAUCGGCCACACUGGAACUGAGACACGGUCCAGACUCCUACGGGAGGCAGCAGUAGGGAAUCUUCCGCAAUGGGCGAAAGCCUGACGGAGCAACGCCGCGUGAGUGAUGAAGGUCUUCGGAUCGUAAAACUCUGUUAUUAGGGAAGAACAUAUGUGUAAGUAACUGUGCACAUCUUGACGGUACCUAAUCAGAAAGCCACGGCUAACUACGUG